rnacentral:sRNA from 1 species
GUUAGGGGAAGGUUUGAAGGCCCUGGAGGUGACAGCAGCCCCACAGAAAGAUUGAUAUGUCAACUACCCUGCACCCCUGAGAGUUCGCAGAGACUGAGCUCUCAACUAAGAUCAAUCACACGGCUUAUCCGAGUCUGGUCCCCGGACCCUGACACAUCUGUAGCAGUAGGAUGCGCCUAAUCCUGCAAGGACUCGAUGCACCAGGGUGGGGGUUAGAGAGACAGGAGCUUCACUCUCAGAGCAAAAGGGGAAGAGAAAGGGAGGACUGAGAGGGAGAGAAACAUGUAGGAUAUAAACAAACAAACAAACAAAUACCUUAUAGAUUGCAUUUCCACUUACAAAGAACUGAGUCUUGGAGGCCAGAUUGUUUCCAAUUGUGUGUGUCUGGAGGAGUCAGAUGAUGUCUACUCUCAGUUUCCUCUGACUUGACCUGCUUCUCAGGGCAAGGGCCAAUCUUAUUUGACAAGGAAGCCCCUUUAGUUCUUAUGUGCACAUAGAAGGAGUCUACAUUGAAGGGGAUUACACUUUCAAAGGUGUCCUGAUCUCUGAUCCUCCCAUAGUAACACUAACAUGUUAAGGAAACUGCUACAAACCAAUGCCUUGGCUGGAUCUACCUGGGUUUUGAACACUGGGUUCUUUCUUAGCUAUGCUGCUCCUAAAUUCCAGGCUGACAAAACUCAGCAGAAAAAGUAAAACCCACAUGGAAGAAACAGUAGAUGGCAAAGGGAGACAAAGUCUCAGCAGGGUAGUCAUGGUCUCUGGCCCCUUCUCACAGAUACAGGAAAAGCCCUGGGACACGAACUCUCCCCAAGGCUGCCUCCUUGUCUAAGCAAAGACUUUCAUGACUGAGAGCAGAUCAGUCUCUGCAUAGGUAGACUCUAAGUGUUGUCUUAAACGUCCCACAUCCAAGCAUUAACUCAAGCAGAAAUGAGUGUCUUCCUCCCAACAGAGUAAUUACCAAUUUCCUAUUAUCUCAUAACACCACAAAGAAUGAUUUCCUCUAACACUUCUGUCCUUAAAAGUCAUAUUCCUUACAACUGUUCAUCCCCAAGACUCCAUUUUAUAUAUAAAAAUUUGCAAAAUCAGCACCAUCUUUUGUUUUAAAAAUAUUUAGUGUUGUGUUAAACGGAUCCAUCAUUUUAGAGCCCAAGGAUUGUAGAUCUCCACAGUACAAAUGCAAGUUAAACAGAUGCGGUCCUCCAUGGGCUGACUUUUAAAUUUAUCUACAUAAUCUAGAGAUGUUUGUGUGUACAUUCACCCUGUUUUCCUUUCCUGUUAGCUUGCUGCCUCUUAACUUGUCUUGAAUACUUUAAGAAGCUGCUCUGGGAACCUUCUCUCCAGUAGAUUAGAAUGCCUUAAAGAUAAAUUUCCUAUCUAACUGGGUUGAGAGAGAUGCCCAAGGUGUCUUCGGCAUCCUCAUUUGGUACAGCCAACCAAAUCCUCUUUUGUACCUAAUAAACAUGGUCUGUAAUUUAUAGACAGGUUAUGAACUGUUAGAGCUCUGCUUCCUGUGUAGACGCCAAGCACUGGAAAUUCUAUUUUAAGAGAAUUAAAGAACUGUAUUAUAAAAUGUUCAUGGUAUGAAAAGUACAGAAUUAAGACGAUUUCAACAAUUACAGUGUCCUACUUAAAUUAUGUUGAAAGGAAAUCCGGGGACAGUUUGAAGUGUGGAGAAGCAGGCCGGGCCUUUCAAUCUCCUUUAGAGACACACGCAGCAAAACGAGAAGCCCUUGCCUUGCCCUCAGCAAACCUUUCCCUCCUAAGCUCAAUCUCCAUAUUCUUUAAACUUCUUAAAAUUAGUCAAAUGAUUCCAUUUGUAUUUUUUCUGCUCUAAAUUUAUUUGAGGCAGAAUCAAAUGUAUACCAACCCAUCUUCCUUGCUGUUUCAUGGAAGCCAGUUCCAUAAUUCUCCAUGAGAAGAAAGCCAAUGUGUCUAUCAAAGAGGCUUUAUGUUAAAUGUAAAUUUCUGUACUUUCAGUUAAAAGGGAAGAUUAUUUAAUUCACUUCAAUUUAACAAGCAUUUACAGAGUAGUGGCAGGCAUUGGUCACGAAAAGGAAUAAAAAAGAAUACAGAAUGCUUGGAUGUUUCCUAUGGACUGAGGGAAACAGGUGCAUCCACCAUGAGUUCAGGACAGGGCAGAACUCGGGCUACACCAGAAGCACACACAAAGGGGAGGUGUGCUGAUUGAUGUGUGUCUAGGGACUCUAACAGAGGUUUCAGAGAUGAGGCAAGGUGACAUUGGGACUGGCUAAAGGAUGAAGUCUGUGGCACGGUAUCCUAUGGGAAAGAAACCCGUAGGAAAAAAACAAUAUACCACAUGACUCCACAUGAUUUGCAGAUCCUGGCACACAUAAAAAGAUGGGGCCCCAACUCAAUACCAUUAGGAACUUCAGUGAUGAUAACUGGGUAAGCCUGUUAUCCAGCAAGACUCAGGGAAGCCAACCUGUAUGUCAAUGGCCACCUGCAGCAACUGGAGGACCAGAGACCUAGUAAGGUGGCACCUAGUAAUCUUAAUCAUCAAAUGUGUCAGGGGGCCGAGAUUAUAGGGGGUUCUCCCGCUAAGAGAAAGCGUCCAUUGCUGAUGACAGGGUACAGGACAUACUAAGUACUUUGCCAAGGUAGACAGAAGCUAAGCAUUUAACAAACACAUCUGAGAAUAUGAGUCCCUUUCUCCUCCACAGGCUGACACUAUUUAAGUUGAUACAGAAAGUAUUGUUUUUCCUGUGAGUUGAAUUCUUUUCCGGGAGGGAGUGGAGGGAGCUUUGAAGGGUCUGCUGUCCCCAGUUUGCCUCUAACUCAACAGACAAAAAAAGGGAGUUAUAGUGCAAAUAAAGAAACAUAUAUUUAGAUUUUCGGUGUGACAUAAUAUUCCCAAUUUCCCUCCAUUUUCCCUCUUUUAACAAAAAGAAACUGUAGGCAAGGCCUUGAUAAGGCCUCCACAUGAGCAAGAAGGCAAUGGACUCAGAUCUAUUUACAUUUUGCCUGCAUUUAUUUUUACAGUCCAGUGGUGAGUGGGGCUAUCCAGCUCCCACUUCCGCCUGAAGCUACUUUAAGCUUCAAACCACUGCCCUGAGCAUUGGAACAGAGUCUCUGCGGUCCCCAUAGAAAUCCUGUGGAAUGCACUUUCCUGCUGGUUUGUUACACUGCUUCAGCGCCUACUCCAUUUUGCAGGGCAACAAAACUCCACACCACAGUCCAACCAGAAAGACUUUAACCCUUCUCUUCUGUAAUUAAAGUUCCUAUUUACAUGGAAAGGUUGUUUGUGAAUAAUCCCUGCAGGGAGUCAACCUAACAAAAAUCAAUCACCCAGCACUCUCACAAGGCCAAGCCCAGAGCUUGGCACCUAGCACAAUACCUAUUUGUUGAACAAGUGAUGAAUGCUGACCCAUUUAUCUGGAUUGAUUUUCUUCUGCCCCAAACCUAACUUUCUACUCUGUUAAAUUCGACUCUCUUAUCCUUUUAGAGAAUUCUUCAAUACAUUUUUCCCCUCCACAUCUUAAACUAUUCCCUGAAGAAUUCUCAUGGCUCUAUAUCAAAAGUCCUAUUAAAUUCUUAAUGGGAUAACCAUGAAAAAGGAAAUUAUUGUAUUAAUUCUCUGUCACCAGCACAGGACUGAGUGAGCUGACCGCUGGCGGAGCAUUCGGGUUCUGAGUCAGGAGCCUGGGCACAUUCAUGCUCACACAGUGGACGCGCAUUAAAGUGAGAGCCUGCACUUUUCACGUGAGAGAGAACACAUGGCAUUUGUCCAUCCGAGCCUGGCUCACCUCACAUACAGCUCUGGGCGUGCAGCCAAGUUAUUCAACCUCCCUGCACCUGGGAUCCCUCACGGGCUCACUGAGGAGUGAAUUCAGUCUCUGGAAGUACUGAGUACAGCACCUGACCUGUGGCACAUUCUCAGUGGAAGUACUGAGUACAGCACCUGACCUGUGGCACAUUCUCAGUGGAAGUACUGAGUACAGCACCUGACCUGUGGCACAUUCUCAGUAAGCACUACUUUUUACCACCAAUCUACUAGAAGUAAUAAUCACUAAUUUAACACGAACGUUAAUAUUUUAAUGUGCCAAUUUAUAUUCAUUCAAUAUGAAUUUAGAAGAUUAUGGAAUAAUAUGUGACUGAUAAAAAUUUUCUUCUUUGAAGAAAGCUCUAUUUAAGAACAUGAGAUGGUUACAUAAAGGAAAUCGUUUUAGUUUACCUCGUGUUCCUCGGUAAAUUCUCUGUCGUGCCUUCCAGAAAACGAAACUCCUUGACAAAGCUUAAAUGUUUAUAAAACUUCCUUGAAAACUUACACAUUUUCCCAUUUUUUUCUGACAGAAUGUGAAGAGACUGUUUCAGUGCUUUCCUCCCACAACUGUCCGCUUCCAAAAGACAAAUUGCAGAAGGCAGGGAUUUUUUUAUUUUUACAAGUCUCAAAUUAAAACCUCACAUUAAACAUUAUUAUCAUUUGGAAAUAUUUGGCCACGCAAAAGCCAACAGACAAGUUCGUUCUAAAAGGCAUUCUGUCAUCUCUUUAGUGGCCACGGCCCUGCCAGCUUCCUGGUGCUCUUAUGACAGUACCAUCAGUCAAUUCAAUCGGAGAAAAUCUAAAGUACGAUGGUAAUUUUCCCCCACAUUUUUUCUCUACUCCGUCAGUCCAAGUCACCUGCUGAAAGCCUUGAUGUGGAACAGCUCGGUAUUCGCUCUGAAGUCAGUACCAGUCCAAAGCUAAAUGCCUGCAUAUUCUUAGCAGAGACUUAACAGCACGUGAGCCCAGACGUGGAACAGACAUGGGGGCACAUUACUUAAGAUCCCCUGUUAUAAAGUCAUUUGCACUGACCCUGAGUAUUGCUACACUGAUGUUAGCCGGGAAAGGAAAAUGAGUUCCUGAAUAUAGGAACAAGUGUUUCAGCGUGAAGUUAACUGAGAACUAUUAAAAAACAAACAAUAAACUCGACUCCAUACCCAGCACAUUAAGUAGCUGACACGUCUAACAGGGUCUCGGCAGAAAGACAUAGGACAUUUUAAAAGAACGCUUCUGUGCCUUUAAAUUUCAACUUGAGUUUUGCAGUAGUGUGCACAUUUUUUUCACAUGGCCCCUUAAAGAGAAAGUAAAGUGCAAUCACCUCUGGUAUCUUCCGUGCUCUGGCACCUCGCCUGGCCUGCCGAGCCCAGCAGGUAGGUCUGUAAGCACUGAGGCUGCCAGGAUGAAAGGCAUUUGCUACAUCUACUCAGAGGGUCGUCAAUGGACAACCUGUACAAGAUUUAUGCUUUAAAUAAUAAAUGAACUAAACACCUUGAGGUAAUUGGCUGUGUGAAGCUUCACAAUAGCCCAGAUAGCUUGUCUGAAAAAAGCCAAAGAAGACUGAAUAAUGGAUGCGGGGCGUGGGGGAUUUGUGCCAAGCCAACACUGCACAGCUCCUUUUUAAACAAGAGUGGUCUGGGACUCCAGUUUCCAGGAUCCUAAGAAGUGCUGACCAGACUUUCUCUUUCUGUGUCCACAGUAAUGACUUCAAACGUUCUUACUUUUUCAUGAUUUCCAAUGGAUGCUGGCACGUGACAGCCAGUUCUUUUAGCUUAAUAUGUGGCCCGCUGGGUGAUGCAAUCUUGUCCAAAGUCUACAGCAUACUCAAUUCUACCUGCACUUUAUAAAGAUAAGAAAGACCAGCAUCUGAGAUGUCUGGGGGUGGGUACCUCUGAUGCAGUACAGAUUUAGUAGCAACUGCCACCAUGAGGACUAACUGAUGGCCUGUCAACCAGCAUUCAAGACAUGUCCACUGCAGGAUUCUGUAAGCAGAGAGCCCCUUCCUGUGAGAAAAGCACAUCAAGAUAUUCAUAUGAACAAAUUAUGGCAGCUUGGUGGAAAAUUUAAAUGGGGAAGAGAUGAAGGCCAGGUAGGUAAAAUAAAAUUAGAAAACUACGGUCGUUGAGUUCAGAUAUAAAGGCAUGGGGGAUGAUCAGUCUAGACCCUAGCUGCUGCCUGUUUGAACAUUUCUGUAAUCAAACUUACUUUUCUAAGACUAUAACCAAACGGGUGUCAGGCAGCACUCAUAUCCAAAGCAAUUGACACCAAAGGUUAUUUUCAAGAUUGGAGAAGUUGGGCAUCCAGAGCCGCUUGGAGCCAGUUUCCACAUGUACUCAGGAAGCCUGGGGUGCUGUGACCUAUCUCUUCAGGAGUAAGGCUGUCCCACUGCUCCCCUGGUCACAGUAUCAAAUAUCUGGGUAAGCUGUUUCCUCUGUCUUUGGAGCUCAGGAUAUAGGGCAUCUCCUAGUCACCCUUCCUGCUCCCACGUGUUGUGUGCCUUAUGCCCAACCACUGCCUGUUUUUUCCACAGCACUCACAGGUUGUGACUGUUCUACAUGUCUGUUCGCCCCCCGCCCCCCGCCUCCUGUGCUCCAGAGCAAAUGGGAGUUUUUUCCAGCUCCCUACAGGCCUUAGCAGCUACCUUGCAGCUACUGACUUCUCACAGUCACCCUCUUAAUCAUUUCUAGAGUCCGGCAUGAGAUUGCUGGAUGCAAACACAAGCAGACGGACUCCUUCAGGCCACAGAGGCACUGUCUGAAGCACAAAUGUACACAGCAAAGAGAUGGACACAGGGACAACUUAGAGGCAACAUUCGAAUCCCUGGCGUUCACGGCCUUUGCACCACCUGCUAACACACAUAACUGCAGGACAGCCAUGGUUUGAGAAAUGCCGAACACUGAGAAACUGAGCCCUGAAGAAAGGACCUACAAGGACGAGCUGAUGACCAAUGGAGAAGGAAAAGUCUCCUUUUCAACCAGUCUACACAACACGCUUUCACUAGUCACUACUCACUUCAGCUAGGGCAUUUUUAUAGGUAAGUCGGCGUCUUUAUUCUUUAGACCAUGUGGAAGAAAGAAUGCAGAUAAAAUUCAAUCAAUAAUUUCUUAUUCAAUUACUGUAAGAAUGUUUUCACGUAUUGCAGAGAUAGACCAUUGUGCCCACCUUUAAAAAGCAAAGAAAAGAAAACCUGAUGUACAAAAAAUUUAACUUGCUCCACAUAUAAAUUAGGAAGUGAUUAUUUGCAUUACAAAAGAUCAUACUUUUCAAAAAAAAAGAUAAGUAACAAGAUUCCUUGAAAUAUCAAGUCCCUUGGUAGAACAAAAUUUUAAUCCAAUUUACAAAGGAAACAGGGAAGCACAAACUUCAUGUGGGCCUAACUCCUACUUCGAAAUCUUUACUGGCCUGUGGCCUCCCUUUCUGCUUUUUCCUGCACCUCUGUGCAGGAUAUUAUGUAAGAAAGCGCCCACUCUGCCAUAGUAAUGGGGUAUGGAUGUAGCAGAGAUGUCUGGGUUGCUGGCGGAAGUGCCAGAGAUUAUCUGAGGUACUGGCGGAAGUGGCAGAGAUUAUCUGAGGUACUGGCGGAAGUGCCAGAGACUGGCUGGGGUGCUAGAGUGCAGAGGAGAUUGAGAUGAAGUAGUUUAGAGUCUCCGGCAUGUCUUAACGCAAGGCUUCAUCUUCUGCCUGCCUUCCUAUAUUUUGAGCUCUUCACAAAGGGAUCGUUUUGUUGUUGCUGUUUAUAACUCAGUCCCUGGGGCCAGGCCUGGCAUCUGAUUCACAGAAUUGUGCAAACCAAUAGUGCUGGAAAGAGAUUUCUAGGUGCCACCGUGUAACUGAGUUUCUGGCCUCACUGAGGAACUGCUAUCUCAUUCAGUUCUCCGUGCAUAGUGAUGGAAUGUGGACAGUGUGGCCGUGCGCUCAGGAGUCAAGUACAGUGGCUGAGCUCACACACUGCAAAGUGGUGGGGAACAGGAAUUCACAUCUGCAGGACACUCUGAACUGCAGACAAUCUGUAAGCACAGCGGUAAGAUGCUCACAAUGUAACAUGAGCAAGAGGCAUUACUUACAGCCACAGAACAGAUGCGGUUCUAUUCCAUCUCGUUCUAGAGACAUAGUCAGUAUUUCUGAAAAGAACACACUUUCCACAUACGGGCCAUCCAGAAUCUUCUCCUGGUGAUUCACUGACAGAGCAAAGCCCUUGAAGACGGGGUAUUUUUUUUUUUUUUGAAAAAGCACACUACAGCAUCUUUUCAUUUUGGUCAUUCUUCUAUACUUUUGACAAUAAUUUAAAAACAGUAAGCAUUCAAGUUCCCAGUCCCAUGAGCUCAGGGUUGUACCCGGGCUCUGCCACUUUUCAGUCAUGUGGUCUCUAAGAGGGACACUGAGAGCUGGCAGAUUGAAAAGGCUGAGGGCAGUGGGGAAAAGAAAAGCACAGAGCAAUGGGGGAGAGAGAACCUGGACUGUACACAGCAAAGCGCUCACAAGCACUGCAGAUUAUCAAACUCCCUCGGGGGAGCUGUGGUGAGCAGUUAUCCCACGACAUUCUAGAACAAGACAAAGAACUCCAAGAGGAUUGGGAUGAAGAAGAGAAAAUAGAUCUGCCUUUUGAUUGACACCUCAUGCAAUGGAAAGGGUAAACAGGAAAUCCACAGCAAAAGUAAAACGUAUUCUAGAAAAACUACAGAAAUCUUCAAAGCAAGACUUCUACAAUGAAUCUAAGUUUGCACAUCUAAGAUUAACAUGAUCCAAACCAAGAAAAUCUUUUGUCAUAAUUCUCCUUCUUAAUUCUGUUGUGAAACCCUGAGCUAUUCAUUUUUCUGGGAAAGGUUUGGUGCUUCCUCAAGAAUAUCCAUUGGGGCUUUUUCCUGAAAGACUAGAAGAGAUUCAUCUUCCUAAAUGUGUUAACAAAGAUCCUCUCACAUGUCCACACGUACAUACCCAGGGAAGUCUUUCAACCCAAGCCCCAUGGGGUGCUAAUCAAACUGCAGUGUUCUGUAGACCAAACCAUGAUGGCUCUUCUACCAGAUAUCUCUGGUUGGCACUGGCAGCUAUCCUGCAACUUUAAACUUAAAUGAGAGGCCCAGAAAAAAAACAGGCUCGGCAAUGAUUUAAUUGAAGGAAAUUUUUGUGAGCCAGGAAUUCUGUAACAAGCCAAGUUAUAAUUCAAGUAUGAUAAUAAUAAUAAAAAUAAAAUAUUCAAGGGCUCAGAAAAAUCUAACACAUAAAUCACUUAAAACCUCUUCAAGAUGUACUCCAGUUAACUGAGAAAUGAAUCAAACUGGAGAUGCCGUGAUGUGACAGACUUCAGAUUGAAAGUUAGACACAAGUGACUCUGAGCUGAUGAAAAUGCUGCAGAAGUACAUUUAGAUUUUAAUAUUGUAAAAUAAUUUGGUAGUAAUAAACUAAGUUUAAAACAAUAGGCUUUGCCAAAAAGCACAUUUUUUUAAUACUGCAGGUUUCACUUAGGGACAAUCUAAAGACAAAUAUCCCAAACAAAGAUUACGAUGCCUGUUUUCACGUGUCACCUUGAUUAGGUCAAUAAGUACCCAGGUUCUUGGCCUAACAUUAUAUUGAAGUGUUUCUGUGACAUUCUUUUAGGAUAAUGUGAAAUUUAAAAUAGUGAGAAAAGAAGAGUAUACUGCUUAAUGUGGUUGCCACUUAAGCAAUUCCUGGAAGAACUGAAAAGAACAAAAAGGCAGGCAUACUCAGACUCCACAAAAAACAGCCCCAGUUCUUCCUGUCAGCCAAGCUCUAACAGGACAUCAACCCCACUCCAUGCAGUUCUGAAACCACAGGACAACCCCAGCCCCCUGUAGGUAUGUCUUAAAAGAUCAUCAUUCUUUAUUAGGGAAGUACAAAUAAAAUUAUAAUUGGGUACCAUUUUCUUCACAGCAGGACGAUGGAUAGUGUUAAGGAGUUUCUUAUAAAAAGAAAACCUGGAAUAUAGGUGUUAAGAAUGAAAAUAAACUAUGAAUAUUUGGCAUGGAUAUAAAAAGGUAUGUAGUAUAUUCAUAGUUUUACUGAGAUGUUAGUACAUACAUGGUGUUCUUACGUUCAAUAGCAAUGAAGAAAUGCCAAGAGGAAAAUCAGCAGAUCUAAGUUUGCAAAAAGGAAAAGAAACUUAUUUGUGUUGUAAAAUAACAACCCAAAAAGGAAAUAUAGGAAACAGUAAAGUGUCAAAUGAUCUACCACACAUGGUUCACAGUAAUCAAGUAAUGUCACUGAAUUGUUAGCAGCAAAUCAGGUAGUGUCUAUUAAAUGGCAUAAAUAAAAAUAUAAAACCAUGUAUUCAACACAAUGUGCCAUAUGUGUUCUAAAGAAAUACGGGUUUCACUUUCAAAUGAAGAAAUAUACUAAAACUGGCCUUGGAAAAAAUGGAGUUAAACUUGCAUUUUCUCACAAGGCUAAGGAGGUGAUUUGCCUUGCAAGAGACUCUCAUACACAUGAGACACCUCUGAACACAUACACUUAUAACAUGAUACCAUCCCCAUAGAAUAACCUUAACAAAAUAUUCCUGCAAAAUUUAUAUAAAAUGCUCACAAGUUCAAUAUAUAUAUAUGUGUGUGUG